CGCGAAACGAGCGUAGCUUCCUUGUCGUGUGGCCUCAGUCCUUCGCCGUCCCUCGCCGUCCUUCGCCAUCGCACGCCACCGCACCCCAUCUCUCGAAAUCUGCAGACAUCUUGAUUUUUCCCACGCUGUCUGUCAGGUCUCCGCCGCCACUCGACGCCAGGGCGCCGGGUGAGUCCACAGCAGGGCGCAUGGUCGGCUCCACUCUCACCAUCGGGGGAAACUGAGGCCCCGGGGAAGGCGGCCAGAGAGGUCAGGCCCUGUCCUUGGUGCAGUGUCUCGUCCUCUUUGCCGGAGUGAGCCCCCCAGGAUUCGCGUGUCCUCGGGAAAGACACUGGCAGGCCUUGUGGGCUGUGCUGCACCUCGGACGGCUUCGCACCAGCCAGCGCCCUCUCUCUCCUGCAGCACUCUGAUCUGCACCCCCUGAGGGGCUUCCACUGUCCGCGGGGUGAGAAUGCCCCUGGGAGUGUCACAUGACUGCCGCCCCAUGUGUGUGAGAGGCGUCCUCUGGGAGAGCAUGGAUCCUGAGGUCCCAGGAUUGUCAGCUGACCUCUGUCCUGUGUGCCCAGUGGCCCCAGGUGACGUGUCUUCAAGAAGAGGCUGAGCUGCGGUGCUUGUAAGGGUCUCAUUCUGUCACCCAGGCUGGAGUGCAGUGGUGCAAUGAUGGCUCACUGCAGCCUCGACCUGGGCUCAAGUGAUCCUCCACCUCAGCUUCCUGAGUAGCUGGGACCACAGAUGGGUCUGCUGUGUGCAGAGGCUCCAUGGGAUGUGUUGUCUUCAUAGUAGCAGGGCGCUGGACCAUGGGUCCGCAAGGUCUCAGCCUUAGAUCCAAGGACAGUCCAAGGAAGUCCUAAGACCAUGGAGUUGGUGAUCUGGGAUCUGGGUUUGCUGAUAUUUCUCACCGUGAAUCUCUUGGUGGUGUUUGUGGGCACGAGAGGGGCAGAGAAUGGAGAGUGAGGCUACCACAUGAAGCGUCACCAGAGCUGCUCCCUGCUGCCUGCUCAGAGCACCCCGGAUCCACUGUUCAAUCUGCACAAGAUUCGGGGUCCAGACAUGGGAGACUUCAGCUGCCUCAGAGGACCGUGGACAGGGAAGGCCAGCCUCGCAUCCCUCUGUCCAUGCCUGGAAUGACUUUAAUAACCAAGAGUUUUAUUUUUGAAUUUGUAGCUGUCGUUCACUUUUUACCCACCCAUUCAAUAAACCUUACAGAAUUGCUCCA
rnacentral:lncRNA from 1 species